rnacentral:rRNA from 1 species
CACGUAGGGGACGAGCGUUGUCCGGAUUCAUUGGGCGUAAAGCGCGCGUAGGCGGCUCGGAAAGUCGGUCGUGAAAUGCCGGGGCUCAACCCCGGGACUGCGUCCGAUACUCCCGAGCUGGAGGCAGGUAGGGGAGAUCGGAAUUCCUGGUGUAGCGGUGAAAUGCGCAGAUAUCAGGAGGAACACCGGUGGCGAAGGCGGAUCUCUGGGCCUUGCCUGACGCUGAGGAGCGAAAGCCAGGGGAGCAAACGGG